rnacentral:tRNA from 1 species
GACUCUGAUGGUAAGAAUCUGCCUGCAAUGCAGAAGACCCAGGUUCAAUCCCUGGGUUG